GAUAGUGCAGAUAACAGAAAAACCCAUUUUGUCGAACAAGCCAGUGAGCCUGAGUCUUCUGUAUGGAGUCACACACGUAUGGCAAUAUUCCUUUCUCAUUGGAAAUCUCUGAGCCGUAGGAUGGCAAGGCUGACUCCGGACACAGCUGCUCCUAGGACCAGCAGGUGUUUAGCAAUGGUGAACAGCUCUCCCACGAGUGUAACUUGGAAACUUGAACCACCCAACAUGGAUCGCCACCUGCACCCCAUGGCAGGCACCAGGCCAGGGGGACAGCCCUGGGCCCCAGAGCUGUGCAGUGCCUCAUACCCGCCAGACCUGAGCUAUACCUUCCUGCACCCGGACACUUCCUGCUCAUGUGUGCCACACUUCCUGGUUGACCCAGUGCUUCCCGAGUGGCCCUGUGUAGCCUGCCAAGAGCUUUCCACUUAGAAAGUGCAACAAACCCUCUCUUCAGUGGCUCCUACCUGCCAGCAUUGUUGUACAUUGAAUUUCCUGCCUUUACACUGAGCGUUGCCCUAAGACAGGAGUGCACCACCUGAGUCUUGGGCCCUGGGCACACACGGAGGCAUCUCUGAGCUUUGCUGUCAUCUCUGAUCUUCCUGCACUUUGGGGACCCCGCUCCUGUCCUCUGCAAAUUCACCUGAGGAUGCUCAGGCUUCCUCGUCUUCAUUCACCAGAACCCUUUCACCUGCUGCCACAUAGAGCCAGCUGUACCAUGCCCAGCGGGGAGAUGCUUGUUUCCCUGCUUACUGAAGGGAUGAACCAGGUCACCACUGUCCCUGAGAUGCAGGCAGCCCUCGCACCCCCUGCCAACCACUUUUCUGUCAGCUUCAGAGCCACACAGCUUGAGAAUUAAAGGAGGACAAGGCAAAGUCCCAAGUUAAGUUGCUAAGAUCCCUAAGUCAUGGUGAAGUUGGCCCUGAAUGUGACUUUAUUUUCCUAGGUCUCUGUUCCCACUGGGAUAUAUCCUGGUAUUUUCCAAUAAACACAAUAAGCCUGAAGUAAGUAGAAAAGAUUACUGUGUGAUUCAGUGUUCCCUUCCCCUGAAUCACUUAGAGUGCUUACCUUUGUUUACUUGGGGCAAGCAGUCAUGUCUACAGGGUAGAAAACACCACCUCUCCUCAUGUUCCGGGAAGCUUAAAUAAGACAAAAGCAAGUGUAUAUUUUUAUUCUGCAACCACCUAGCAGUGAAACAAAACAGCACUUAAGUCUCCUGCUUGCAGUUACCCAUUUAGAGCCUGGCUCUGAAAAUCAUUAAUCCUUUGAGGGAGAAAGUUUGUCUGGUUGCUGGGGCCCCAGCCUCAUUAUGUGAACAAAGCAGACAGGGCCUGAGGAGGUCAGAUAACUUCCUAAAUUAACGAGAACCGUGACUGUGUAAGUACAGAGAUGAAACCUCAGGGUGAAGAUUUGAAAAAUAUCAAACAGAGAAUUAUUUUUCAUAUAAAAACGCUGAAGUUUCUGUUGCUUACAGAUAUCCAGAUGGCUCGGGACUUGCUGGAUAAGCUCUAAAUGGACAAAAACUGAUCGUAUCUGUGCAUAAUUUCAUUGGUGAACUGGAAUCUAAUGAUCAGAGGUCUCCUUGUUGGUGAUUAUAUUUGAGAAAGAUGGCACUUGUCACUGGAAGUUAUCUAGUAAAACAUAUGCAUAUAUAAUAUGAAAGGUAACAAUGAACUGUUUCACAAGUUACCUUCUGAAAUAGCUGUCUCCUACAGGGAAUAGCUAUUAUUUUGGUACUAAUAUAAAUUACUUUAUAGCAG
ensembl:lincRNA